rnacentral:tRNA from 1 species
GGGGAUUUAGCUCAGUGGUAGAGCACUUGCCUAGCAAGCACGAGGUCCUGGGUUCGGUCCCCAGCUCCG